GCCAGGCAUGGUGGCACAUGCCUGUAAUCCCAGCAGCUCAGGAGGCUGAGGCAGAAGGAUCACAAGUUUAAAGCCAUCCUCAGCAACUUAGUGAGGCACUUAGCAACUCAGUGAGACCCUGUCUCUA
rnacentral:sRNA from 1 species